rnacentral:rRNA from 1 species
AGAAUGAACGUUGGCGGCAUGGAUUAGGCAUGCAAGUCGUGCGCGAAACGUAGCAAUACGUGGAGAGCGGCGAAAGGGAGAGGAAUACGUGGGAACCUACCUUCGGGCCUGGAAUAGCGGCGGGAAACUGCCGGUAAUGCCAGAUAACGUCCCCGGACCAAAGGUGUGAUUCCGCCUGGAGAUGGGCCCACGUCCUAUCAGCUAGUUGGCGAGGUAAAAGCUCACCAAGGCUAAGACGGUAUGGGUGUGAGAGCAUGCCCCCACUCACUGGGACUGAGACACUGCCCAGACACCCACGGGUGCUGCAGUCGAGAAUCUUCGGCAAUGAGCGCAAGCUUGACCGAGCGAUGCCGCGUGCGGGAUGAACGGCCCGUCGGGUUAGUAAACCGCUGGUCGGUAGGGAGUAACGGUCGAGGGUUCCUCCCUCUGAUUGAACAAUCCGUAAGGAGGAAGGCGGACGUAAGUUCGUCGACCG